UACGAAGGGGGCUAGCGUUGCUCGGAAUCACUGGGCGUAAAGGGUGCGUAGGCGGGUCUUUAAGUCAGGGGUGAAAUCCUGGAGCUCAACUCCAGAACUGCCUUUGAUACUGAGAAGCUUGAGUCCGGGAGAGGUGAGUGGAACUGCGAGUGUAGAGGUGAAAUUCGUAGAUAUUCGCAAGAACACCAGUGGCGAAGGCGGCUCACUGGCCCGGUACUGACGCUGAGGAGCGAAAGCCAGGGGAGCAAACGGG
rnacentral:rRNA from 1 species